CGAGCGGGCGUAGCAAUACGUCAGCGGCAGACGGGUGAGUAACGCGUGGGAACGUACCUUUUGGUUCGGAACAACACAGGGAAACUUGUGCUAAUACCGGAUAAGCCCUUACGGGGAAAGAUUUAUCGCCGAAAGAUCGGCCCGCGUCUGAUUAGCUAGUUGGUAGGGUAAUGGCCUACCAAGGCGACGAUCAGUAGCUGGUCUGAGAGGAUGAUCAGCCACAUUGGGACUGAGACACGGCCCAAACUCCUACGGGAGGCAGCAGUGGGGAAUAUUGGACAAUGGGCGCAAGCCUGAUCCAGCCAUGCCGCGUGAGUGAUGAAGGCCCUAGGGUUGUAAAGCUCUUUUGUGCGGGAAGAUAAUGACGGUACCGCAAGAAUAAGCCCCGGCUAACUUCGUGCCAGCAGCCGCGGUAAUACGAAGGGGGCUAGCGUUGCUCGGAAUCACUGGGCGUAAAGGGUGCGUAGGCGGGUCUUUAAGUCAGGGGUGAAAUCCUGGAGCUCAACUCCAGAACUGCCUUUGAUACUGAAGAUCUUGAGUUCGGGAGAGGUGAGUGGAACUGCGAGUGUAGAGGUGAAAUUCGUAGAUAUUCGCAAGAACACCAGUGGCGAAGGCGGCUCACUGGCCCGAUACUGACGCUGA
rnacentral:rRNA from 1 species